rnacentral:rRNA from 1 species
UGGGGAAUAUUGGACAAUGGGCGCAAGCCUGAUCCAGCAAUGCCGCGUGUGUGAAGAAGGCCUUCGGGUUGUAAAGCACUUUUAUCAGGAGCGAAACGCUGUCGGCUAAUACCCGGCGGAACUGACGGUACCUGAGGAAUAAGCACCGGCUAACUUCGUGCCAGCAGCCGCGGUAAUACGAAGGGUGCAAGCGUUAAUCGGAAUUACUGGGCGUAAAGCGUGCGUAGGCGGUUUCUUAAGUCUGCUGUGAAAUCCCCGGGCUCAACCUGGGAAUGGCAGUGGAUACUGGGAGGCUAGAGUGUGUCAGAGGGUGGUGGAAUUCCCGGUGUAGCGGUGAAAUGCGUAGAGAUCGGGAGGAACAUCAGUGGCGAAGGCGGCCACCUGGGACAACACUGACGCUGAGGCACGAAAGCGUGGGGAGCAAACAGGAUUAGAUACCCUGGUAGUUCACGCCCUAAACGAUGCGAACUGGAUGUUGGUCUCAACUCGGAGAUCAGUGUCGAAGCUAACGCGUUAAGUUCGCCGCCUGGGGAGUACGGUCGCAAGACUGAAACUUAAAUGAAUUGACGGGGUC